rnacentral:lncRNA from 1 species
CAAACUUCACGGCGUGGUGGGACCUGGGCUACGAGGUCCGGCCAGCCCGGGGCGGGGGCGUGCAGCUGACCCAGCAUUUUCGUGACCCCUGUGUCAGUGUUCCCGGUGCAGGAGUGUAGCACUUUUGCUUGUUGGGGCUGCAUCCAGAAACCUGGGGAAAAUCUGUCCACUGGACGUCUCAGAAGACCGGCAUCAUCACUCCCACCAACUGGACUGCUGGCCGGUAGCAAAAGACCAGCUGGAAAUUUCAUAAAAGGUUAGACAAUCCACAGUUACUCAGUGUUACGCAACAGGUCUCUGCAGCACAGAGCACGAACUGGGGAGUCAGGAUGCUGGAGUCCAGCCCUGCCUCUCUGCGGAUUCCCUGCCUGACCUUGGGAAAGCCUCUUGGGGUCUCGGGGCAUAGGGCAGGACUGAGACGUUGAGACCCCAAGUGCAAAGAAGACACAUUUCUCCUACCACGAGUAAUCAAAAACACUAUGAAACUGUAAUAUGGGCCGGGUGCGGUGGCUCACGCCUGUAAUCACACUUUCGGAGGCCGAGGAGAUUGAGCCCAGGAGUUGAAGACCAGCCUGGGCAACAUAGGCAGAUCCCAUCUCAUUUUGUUAAUAUAAAAUUUUUAAAUAAUAAUAAAACUGUAAUAUAAAUUGUAUUGUUUCCUAUCUUGUCCACCUUGGUAUGUUUUUUGGAAAUAAAUUCAAUUUUUUUCCUUUUUA